UGAGGUGAUUUGGAACUUGGCAUUGCAG
rnacentral:piRNA from 1 species